rnacentral:lncRNA from 1 species
AGGAAAAGGCCAUUCCUCUAAGAACAGGCUCUUACUUUUUGUAAAAAGAAACUGGAAGAAUGUAAGAAAGGAAAAGCUCUCAAAGAUGGCCAUCAAAUCUACUCAUCCAAUUUUCCAUUAAGUGUUUCCCCAGCACAUCUGAGUAGCUGGGACCUCCCUUCUGGGUUGAGCAGACAAUGGCACCAGCAGAUGAUAAUUUCUCCAUGGGACCUGAUUCUACAGAGAAGAAAACAGGUCCUCCUACUAAACACCCUAAACUUGGAAGAAGAAAAUGAAGAGCAGUGCGUUGUAAUGGGCACUGCUCACAUCAGGAUUUUCCUAGAAGCC